rnacentral:rRNA from 1 species
UACGUAGGGGGCGGGCGUUGUCCGGAGUUACUGGGCGUAAAGGGCAUGCAGGCGGUCCGACGCGUUUUGUGUGACAGCGGGUGGCUUAACUACCCGAGGAUACGAAAGACGGUUGGACUUGAGGACUCGAGAGGGACACGGAAUUCCGGGUGGAGUGGUGAAAUGCGUAGAGAUCCGGAGGAACACCGAAGGCGAAGGCAGUGUCCUGGCGAGUGACUGACGCUGAGGUGCGAAAGCCAGGGGAGCGAACGGG